rnacentral:rRNA from 1 species
UACGUAGGGUGCGAGCGUUGUCCGGAAUUACUGGGCGUAAAGAGCUCGUAGGCGGCUUGUCGCGUUGUUCGUGAAAAUUUACCGCUCAACGGUGAACUUGCGGGCGAUACGGGCAGGCUAGAGUACUGCAGGGGAGACUGGAAUUCCUGGUGUAGCGGUGAAAUGCGCAGAUAUCAGGAGGAACACCGGUGGCGAAGGCGGGUCUCUGGGCAGUAACUGACGCUGAGGAGCGAAAGCGUGGGGAG